GCACAGGCCUGCGGCUGGCAGAGAGCCGGGUCGAGCCAGCCCUGGAGAAGCAGGCCCAGCUGGAGGAGCAGCUGCGGGACAAGGUGCUCCACGAGAAGGACCUGUCCCAGCAGCAGAUGCAAAGCGACCUGGACAAGGCUGACCUCAGUGCCAGGAGGGUCCCUGGUGGGUGCUGCACGAGGCAGGCGUCACUGCAGAAGAGUGACAGAGCUGGGCCUGGCAGUGAAGCGUCUUCAGAAGCAGAAUCUGGAGAAGGAUCAGGUCGACAAGGACCUCACCGAGAAGCUUGAGGCCCUGGAAUCCCUGCGGCUACAGGAGCAGGCGGCCCUGGAGACAGAGGACGGAGAGGGGCUACAGCAGAGCCUAAGGGACUUGGCACAGGCCGUCCUGUCUGACGCUGAGAGCGGCAGCCUGCGUCCAACAGCGUCCGACCGCAGCCUGCGGGGGCUCUCGGGCCAGCGGACCCCGUCUCCACCGCGGCGCUCCUCGCCGGGCCGAGGCCGUUCGCCCCGCAGAGGCCCCUCCCCGGCCUGCUCAGACGACUCCACGCUCGCUUGCCCUGAUUCUCUCCGCCCUGCACUUUUGCCAGCUGAAGGUCCAGAACAUGCGUGGGCGCUAUGAGGCAAGCCAGGACCUGCUGGGCACCCUGCGGAAGCAGCUUAGCGACAGCGAGAGUGAGCGGCAGGCCCUAGAGGAACACCUGCGUGGCGCCGUCGGUCUUGUCCCGGAGAAGAGCAACCUGGUCCACAGCCUGCAGGUGGCCCAGCAGCAGGCCGAGGAGCUGCCGCAGGAGCGGGAGAAGCUGCAGGUUGCCCAGGAGGAGCUGCAGCGCCAGCGGGACCGGCUGGAGGAAGAGCAGGAAGAGGCGGUGCAGAAUGGCGCACGGGUUCGCCGGGAGCUUGAGCGCAGCCAUAGACAACUAGAGCAGCUGGAAGGGAAGCGCUCAGUCCUGGCCAAGGAGCUGGUGGAGGUGAGGGAGGCGCUGAGCCGCGCCACGCUGCAACGGGACAUGCUGCAGGCCGAGAAGACCGAGGUGGCCGAGGCGCUGACCAAGGCUGAGGCUGGCCGCAUGGAGCUCGAGCUCUCCGUGACCAAGCUGAGGGCAGAGGAGGCCUCCCUGCAGGACUCCCUGUCCAAGCUGAGCGCCCUCAACGAGAGCCUUGCUCAGGACAAGUUGGAUCUGAACUGCCUUGUCACCCAGCUGGAGGAAGAAAAGGCCACGCUGCAGGGCCGGCAGCGGCAGGCGGAGCAGGAGGCCACAGUGGCGCCGGCAGAGCAGGAGUGGCUGGAGGAGCUGUGGUUGGAGCAGGAGGUGGCACGGCAGGGCCUGGAGGGCUCCCUAUGAGUGGCGGAGCAGGCCCAGGAGGCGCUGGAGCAACAGCUCCCCACACUGCACCAUGAGCUCAGUUGGCUGCAGGAGCAGCUAGCACAGCUCUCCUGGCAGCUGAGCAGGCGGGAGCAGGAGCUGGAGCAGGCCCGGUGGGAGGCCCAGUGACAGGUGGAGACGCUGGGGCGAGUGGCCCGGGAGAAGGAGGCGCUAGCCAAGGAGCACGCUGGCCUGGCUGUGCAGCUGGCGGCCUGCGGAGCGUGAAGGCAGGACCGUGUCAGAGGAGGCCACACACCUGCACUUGGAGAAGGAAGCCCUGGAGGGCAGCCUGUUUGAGGUGCAAUGGCAGCUGGCCCAGCUUGAGGCCCGCCGGGAGCAGCUGGAAGCCGAGGGGCAGGCCCUGCUGCUGGCCAAGGAGACCCUGACUGGGGAGUUGGCGGGCCUGCGGCAGCAAAUAAUAGCUACGCAGGAGAAAGCCAGUCUAGACAAGGAGCUGAUGGCCCAGAAGCUGGUGCAGGCUGAGCGGGAGGCCCAGGCCUCUCUGCGGGAGCAGUGGGCAGCCCACGAGGAGGACUUACAGUGACUCCAGCGUGAAAAGGAGGCAGCAUGGCGGGAGCUGGAGGCCGAGCGGGCCCAGCUGCAGAGUCAGCUGCAGCGUGAGCAGGAGGAGCUGCUGGCCCGGCGGAAGGCUGAGAAGGAACAGCUGAGUGAGGAGAUUGCUGCCCUGCAGCAGGAGCAUGACGAGGGCCUCCUCCUGGCCGAGAGCGAGAAGCAGCAGGCCUUGUCUCUGAAGGAGUCUGAGAAGAUGGCGCUGUCAGAGAAGUUGAUGGGUACACGGCACAGCCUGGCCACCAUCUCCCUGGAGAUGGAGCGGCAGAAACCAGAUGCCCAGAGCCGGCAGGAGCAGGACCGGGUAGGCCUGCCGUCGUAGGGAGGCUUGCGGAGCAGGAGCGCCCUCUCUCCACCGAGCUAUCCCGCGGUUUCCAGCAUCCCAUCUGGCGGACUCCUCUUCCUCUCUCUUCUCCUACUCUGGGUCUUCUAUCCUGGUGUUCCUUGAAUGCCUAUCUUCCUUUUGUGCCUCGGAACCUCUCACGCCUGCCACAAGUUACUCUUUUCCUUGGUAGUUCUGAACUUUAAAUAAGGUAAUGCCUGUAAGAAUGCCAUAAAUGCUCAAUAAUUGUCAUCUGUUAUUAUUUUCAUCAGUAACAUCAUCUGAAUCAUCAGUAUUGUCUGCUUUUAACAGCUGCAUUUUUCAUUGUCCAAAUAUAGUCACAUACAUUUGACCAUUUUAUAAUUAUUGAAUAAUAAAUUCGUUCUGCUAUUUUACAAUGAAAAAUAAUGCUGCAGAGAGCAUUUUUGCACAUGUAUCGUGGCAGAUGUAGGCCAGAGGCUCUUCUUUUAUCCAUCCUAUGGCCAACCUAUGAAUGUAUACACGUUUAAUGAGAUUUUGCCAGCAAUCAAAGCCUUCAGGGAAAAUGUCCCUAGCUCUUUACUACAUCAGAUCAAGGACUCUGGAUAAUUGGCAUAACAUCCUGGAAUAGCUGAAACAGAGAUAUUAUUCUCUGCUGUCCUCUGUUGUCUUUGUCUUUUCACGUCUUAAUAAAAGUGCUGGUGACAAGAGUGUAA